rnacentral:rRNA from 1 species
UACGUAGGGUGCAAGCGUUAAUCGGAAUUACUGGGCGUAAAGCGUGCGCAGGCGGUGAUGUAAGACAGGUGUGAAAUCCCCGGGCUUAACCUGGGAACUGCAUUUGUGACUGCAUCGCUGGAGUGCGGCAGAGGGGGAUGGAAUUCCGCGUGUAGCAGUGAAAUGCGUAGAUAUGCGGAGGAACACCGAUGGCGAAGGCAAUCCCCUGGGCCAACACUGACGCUCAUGCACGAAAGCGUGGGGAGCAAACAGG